GCACUUUCAAAGCAGUAAAAUUUGGCACCCUGGAGGUACAGGAGCUACAUCUGCUGAAUGAACAGCACUGAGUAAGGACUGGUUUCUGCACUCCAGUUUGCAAUCUCACAAAGACGCCAGACAUACCAAAACAGCUUUCUACAUGGAGUGCUAUGGACACACUGGUGGUUGACAAUAAUAAGAACUUUUUGAAGGCAAUGUCAUGCCUGCCUCUCCAGACCUCAGACAGCUGUUACUCACUGUUUAUCCUUC
rnacentral:lncRNA from 10 species